rnacentral:misc_RNA from 1 species
AACGCACGAGACCUGCGGACCUGCGGAAGGAUCAUUACAGGACUCGCAAGACUCCUACAACCCUGUGAACUUAACUAUAAGCACGUUGCUUCGGCGGGUGUCUCGGCGAGGGUCCUCCCUCCCCGGGGCGCUAAGCCCGCCGGCAGCCUACUAUACUCUGUCUCUUUGCGUUGGCAUCUCGAGUACAAACAAACAAGUUAAAACUUUCAGCAACGGAUCUCUAGAUCGGAAGAGCACACG